rnacentral:rRNA from 1 species
UAGGGAAUAUUGGUAAUGGGCGAAAGCCCGAACCAGCAACGCCGCGUGCGCGAUGAAGGCCUUCGGGUUGUAAAGCGCUUUUUAAGGGGAUGAGGAAGGACAGUACUCUUAGAAUAAGCCUCGGCUAACUACGUGCCAGCAGCCGCGGUAAAACGUAGGAGGCGAGCGUUAUCCGGAUUUACUGGGCGUAAAGCGUGUGUAGGCGGUUUGAUAAGUUGGAUGUGAAAGCUCCCGGCUCAACUGGGAGAGGUCGUUCAAAACUAUCAGACUUGAGAGUGGUAGAGGGAGGUGGAAUUCCGCGUGUAGUGGUGAAAUGCGUAGAUAUCAUCCAGAACACCGAUUGCGAAGGCAGGUGGCUACGUUUGAUUUGACACUGAGGCACGAAAGCAUGGGGAGCAAACA